UACUGUUAUUGCCGUAGGUAAUGCUAUGCAAUGUCUGUGCUUAACUCAAGAACACUUAGCACAAGGGGUGACUUUGGUAAAUGCAGUGCAAUUCAGUCAAGAUCCUCACAGUGUUUUAAAGACCAUGACCAAGCCAAAAGACGCCUGCUUAGAGCGUUAUAUUGAACGUCUGGUGCGUACAAAAAGUUACAGAACCCUGCUUAAGAAAAAGUCUUUUUGUAAGAUGUCUAAAAGGAUGAAAUUAGAGAAUGAUGAGGGGAUACACAUGAGAUAUAAAACUUGGUAGCUGUAAAUAUCUUUUGAAAAGAGGCUUUUGUGACUAUCUUCUGUCAGAAGGUUUGUGUGAUCCUUACAUGUGUAAAAGUUUUGGUGGAACACAUGGUCUGUAUGUCUUUUAAAAAAAAUCAUUUAAAAAAAUAAAGUUUGUGAGAAUCCAUUUUGUAUAAAGGGGCCCAUUUACUGAAAAACCCUGAAAGAUGUAUGGUAGAAACUCGGGGGAAGGAAAAACCCCUCCAAAAUAUUUUGUUUUUUAAAUAAAAGGAAAAAAUCAAACCCCCAGUUAGGAUUUAUUAGACAUGAACUCAGUGGUUUAACCACACCUCACUGAAUAGCCAGGGAGCUCUAGUCAAUGGUUAGGUUUAGGUGUGACCACUUACCCUUGUUGAGGUUAAUGUUCAGUAAUUAAAUUUGAUGGGUUGGAUGGGUGGGCUCUGAUGAAUAUCUAAUUAAAUAACACCUCAGGAGUUUGCAGAUGCUAUUGGACAGUUUAAAUAUAACCCCUGGGGUUGGUAGAGCACUAUUGGACAGUUUAAAGGACACAUGAGUUGGUAGAAAUGCUAUUGGACAGUUUAAAUAUGACCCAGGAGUUGAUUGAAUGCUAUGGGCUACUUUUUUUAGCCAUUAAAAGUUUAAAAAAUUGAGGGUCUAACCCAAAACUUAAAUGUUUCAAACUUUUACCAAUACUUUAGAACAAACAUUUGCUCUAAAGACAAUCAAACAUUUAAAAGCAUUUUAUUUAAACCCCAAGCCUUAAGCCUGAAAGAAGCGUGUUAAAAAAAACAAACCCCAAGACACGUAUUGUUAUCUGCAAAGGGUCUCCACGUGGAAGUGGGUACAGCUACAUUAAGGAUUGGUGCUUUUACUGUGAAUACUGUAAGAAAGCCCUACAAAAAAUGUAAAAAAUGUAGCCAAAAGCAACUCAGUUGUGGAGACAGCUUAAUUCCUCCACCCCCAGAUCACAAAAGGCAAGGCUAGGGAGGGGUGCCUAAAGUCUUUAAGGAUCUAUUAUUUUAGAGUUGCAGUGAUCAAAUUAACCUGCCAGCUACUACAGUAGUUGAAGUUGUUUGAAACAAUGGGUUAGGAGGGUAUAAAAAACCUAGGUGUUUUGGAAACUGUCCUUUUCAACAGAAACUUUCUUGAAUGGCUGCUAGACUGCAACAGGAGAAGGUAUGUUCCCUGUUUUUAACUUUGAAAAUAUAUAUUAUAUAUGCCACUCUUUGGCCAUGCUCUCUUAGUAAAAUAAUGGUGGCUAUCUUUAUUGCAGUCUGAUCUGUUUAAUAUGGAACCAGUAAUUUUAAGCUGCAGUUCACCACCAGGCCAAGUCCCAAAUAUACAUAGGGGAAAACAGAAUAGCCCUGUGCCAGCAUGCCUUUACCCUGUGGUAGAAGUACAGUCAAAACAUGAGAGAUCCUUAGACCAGAGGGAAAACAAGCUCAAAAGAAAGGAAAGAGACAGCUGAAAAGGAAAAUUUACCAGCAUCAGUGACUGAUGGAUCGAUGAAGCCCAACAUGGACAACUUUUCUGACAAUGCUGUAGUCAGAGCUACAAGGACACCUCCUCCAGAACCGCCAAAGAACCAGGAAUCUGCUUUGAGACCCUUAACAACGCAAAACAGCCCAAGAGUGCAGAGGAAGCAUCUGGGCGGUCCAAACCUCACAUAUGUCAAACCCAAGGACAAAACAAAAGACUCUGGUAAAAAAAACAACCAUGCAACCACAACUCCAGUUCCUCAGCGGUCACCACCACACCAUGCCCUGAGGAAACGGUGAGUGAAAACGCCCACAUUCACAAACCCAGAGCACGUACUCUAGGGGUUCUGAAUGUGCACAAACCUGGAGCACACGCUCUAGGGGAUGCAUAUAAAAAACCAAGGACUGAAAAUUCCUGCAAUGCCAAGGUAUUGCAGCCACGCAAACACAACUCCAGUUCCUCAGCGGCCACUGCCACACCAAGCCCUGAGAAAACUGUGAGAAAACGCCCACAUUCACAAACCCAGAGCAUGCACUCUAGGGGUUGUGACUAAAAUACCAAGGACUGACAAACCAUUCUCCCAAAACCAUAAGCUCAUCACAGCUCCCCCAUAUUCUAGUAUGGGGGAAGCGUUUGAUGCUUCAUUCAGAAAACUGGUGAACUCUGUAUCCUCAGGGGUCCUAAAAGAAAGGGGCUUGGGCAAAAGGGUCAUCCUGAGGGGUUCCCAUCAGAUAAGGUGUAAACAAAAGGGGGGGGACAGCAUUUGGCAGAUAAACGGGUGGCUGCCAAAAAGUUCCAGGCCAAGAUCACUGCAAAAUCUUUUAAAAAGGCUAAAGAAGUGGUGAGGGAAAAAAAUACCAAAAACAGAUGCCCCCUACUGGAGGCUCACAAAAUGGCUUAUCUGACCUGUGGGGUGGUGAUGAGUUUGUAGAUGGGUCCCUGGCUAGUCCUGAUGACUCUCUGAGACCGCUCUGACUCUGAAAUAGCAUCUGAGGUAGAAGAUGCCCCUGAUGGUCCUGUAGAGGAACCCCCAAGUACCCCUGAAAAUCCAGGGUUGUAUAUGGAGAGAGUGAGAAGUUGGCAACGUGAAGUACCUAGAUUUGGGGGGGGGGAGGGUCAGUGUAUUGUGAGGAAUUUUUUAUUUUGUCAAUCUUGAGCAAAUAAAUUCAGCUGAACAGGUUAUUGAAGCCAUACGUAGGGGAAUACAGUUAGUUCUAGAUGACGUUAAUGGUAGGGUAGGCCCUGAUGAUUAUGUUCAGUUACAUUUAGAGAGCUGUAAUUUUACUGGUUUUGGUCAGAAGAACUAGGGACAAGCUGUCUGCUGAGGAUUUUUUUUUUUAAACCAGACCUCAAAGCUGUUACAGAGUAAUAGAGAGUUGCACCUCAAUGGAACAUUGCGCCUCAUUGUGACAGUUGUAAAAAACUGGGGUGGGGAUGCUCGUAGAGUUUUAAAUUCUAUCCUUAGUAGUCAAAUUAUUCAUAAAAAGAGACACGGUUUAGUAGACCUGGCUUACACCGGUACCAAUCUGUGUUUUGCGGGCGGGCUCUUGGCCGUCAUGUCUGAUCGUAAACCUAUGGACACCGAAUUGUUAGAGGGGGCGAGAAAGCUCCACGAGAAACUGGGGUGGUCAGAUCAAAAAAAGGUUAUGCUCAGCGACUUAAACUAUGCUCAGCAAAGUUUGAACAGCAUUUAGGAGUUAACAUACAGGUGGAGCUGUAUACGGCCAAAGGCAGCUGGGGCUUUUUUAAAACGAGGGGCCCAGUGUACCCCAAGACUGACUUUAUCCUGUUGCACAAUGAGCAUUACUAUGGGGUUCUGGAUGCGAAAAAGUUGUUCGGAGCGAAAAAUUGUGAGUUUUGCCACACAGUGUACAGUCACGACCACUCUUGCAGGUAUUGUUGCCGCCUCUGCUUGAGCAGAACGUGCUCAGACAGCGUGGGCAUGCCACUGAGGUGUC